rnacentral:rRNA from 1 species
AAAACAUCGCCUUUAGCCUAACAAGUAUUAAAGGUCCCGCCUGCCCAGUGAACCCCCUUAAACGGCCGCGGUACUCUAACCGUGCAAAGGUAGCGUAAUCACUUGCCCCCCAAAUAGGGGCUAGUAUGAACGGCUAAAUGAGGGCCUAACUGUCUCCUGUGAUAAUCCAAUGAACCUGCUCUCUUAGUACAAAAGCUAAGAUGUACACACAAGACAAGAAGACCCUGUGGAGCUUUUAAACACUACACUAACUUCAACCCAUAGUGCUAACUUUAAGUUGGGGCGACUGCGGAGAAAAACAAAACCUCCGUGACACAGGAUUCAACCCCACCCAAGGCCGACAGGCCUAAUCUACUAACAACCCAUUGACCCAGCAAUGCUGACCACCGAACCAAGUUACCCCAGGGAUAACAGCGCAAUCCCCUUCAAGAGUCCUUAUCGCCAGGGGGGUUUACGACCUCGAUGUUGGAUCAGGACACCCCAGCGGUGUAGCCGCUGCUAACGGUUCGUUUGUUCAACGAUUAAUGUCCUACGUGAU